rnacentral:rRNA from 1 species
GUGGGGAAUAUUGGACAAUGGGCGCAAGCCUGAUCCAGCCAUGCCGCGUGAGUGAUGAAGGCCUUAGGGUUGUAAAGCUCUUUUAUCCGGGACGAUAAUGACGGUACCGGAGGAAUAAGUCCCGGCUAACUUCGUGCCAGCAGCCGCGGUAAUACGAAGGGGGCUAGCGUUGCUCGGAAUCACUGGGCGUAAAGGGCGCGUAGGCGGCGUUUUAAGUCGGGGGUGAAAGCCUGUGGCUCAACCACAGAAUGGCCUUCGAUACUGGGACGCUUGAGUAUGGUAGAGGUUGGUGGAACUGCGAGUGUAGAGGUGAAAUUCGUAGAUAUUCGCAAGAACACCGGUGGCGAAGGCGGCCAACUGGACCAUUACUGACGCUGAGGCGCGAAAGCGUGGGGAGCAAACAGGAUUAGAUACCCUAGUAGUCC